rnacentral:lncRNA from 10 species
AACACUUAUGUCAGUAGACUUGGAGUAAAGCAGAUUACCCUCCAAAUGUGGGUGGCUUCAUCCAAUCAGUUGAAGGCCUUAGGACAAAAAGUCUGAGGAUCCUCUUCAGACUCCAGCUGCAACAUCAGCUCUUCCCUGGGUAUUCAGCCUGCCAGCUUGUCCUGCAAAUUCAGACUCGACAGCCUCUACAACUGUGAGCUAAUUUAAAACAAUCUUUCUUUCUCUUUUUCAAAUCCCUCACUAAUGCAUCAUGUUUUGUGUUCAGCCAUGUUUCAAGCUAUUUGACAAUUCUCUCUUAUCCGUAUAUAUGGAAGAUACAAUGCUGUAGGCUCAUCAUACCAUACCCUUUUCCUGCGAACACAGGAGGACCCCAUCUUCUAGCCUCUCUUACAGUUAUGUUGGACCUAUGUGACUGGAUUCUGGCCACUGGAAAAGCAACAGUGGAUGUAACACAAGUUACUUUCAAGCCUAGCCCUUAAAAGCAUCUUGCCAAACCCUUCAACUCUCUGUUACAAAGCAGCCUUGAAAGCCAUGUAUUCUAGGUGGCAUACGAACAUGAUAAAGAAAGCAUGUCAGACCUAUAUGAAACCAGGUCAGGAAGAGACAGAAGUUACAGCAGUUUUCAUUUCAUCAUGAACUUUUGGCAAAGGGUGAGCAUGAACUUUUGGCAAAAGGUGAGUUUUUUUUGUUUGUUUGUUUGUUUUGCUUUUCAAUGAAUUUCUUUCUUUGAUCUUCAAAAGAAAAUGCAACCUCCUUUGGUUUUAUUAGGUGUUAACUAGUGCAAUUCUAUCUGUUCAUAUUGCUGUAGGUUUCUGAUCAGAACAAAAGCUAGAAAAUGGUGAAUAUGUUUUCCGGGAAUGCCAGGGCUUUCUGUCUCCUCACACAUUCUGUUUAUAGCCCUGCACAUUAUGAAGUCACAUUUCCUUAAUCGUAUGCUAAACUCAUAGUCAUAGUCCUCCAUCAACAAUGUUUAUGCACUGCUGAUCUGAGCUUCACAAAAUCAGGGACUGAGGCUGUUUUAUUCACUACUAACGCAUGUAGUACCAUACCUGGCACAUAAAACUAGUGCAUGGCUCAAGAAAA